rnacentral:tRNA from 1 species
GCUUCUGUAGCAGAAUCGGUACAUGCAUCUGUUUCAAAAACAGAAGUCUGAAGGUUCGACUCUUUCCAGAAGCACCA